rnacentral:rRNA from 1 species
CCAACCAGGGAUUGCCUCAGUAACGGCGAGUGAAGCGGCAAAAGCUCAAAUUUGAAAUCUAGCACCUUCGGUGUUCGAGUUGUAAUUUGAAGAUGGUAACCUUGGGUUUGGCUCUUGUCUAUGUUCCUUGGAACAGGACGUCAUAGAGGGUGAGAAUCCCGUCUGAUGAGAUGCCCAUUCCUAUGUAAGGUGCUAUCGAAGAGUCGAGUUGUUUGGGAAUGCAGCUCUAAGUGGGUGGUAAAUUCCAUCUAAAGCUAAAUAUUGGCGAGAGACCGAUAGCGAACAAGUACAGUGAUGGAAAGAUGAAAAGAACUUUGAAAAGAGAGUGAAAAAGUACGUGAAAUUGUUGAAAGGGAAGGGCAUUAGAUCAGACUUGGUGUUUUACGAUUAUCUUCUCUUCUUGAGUUGUGCACUCGUAUUUCACUGGGCCAGCAUCGAUUCGGAUGGCAAGAUAAUGGCAGUUGAAUGUGGCUUCACUUCGGUGGAGUGUUAUAGCUUCUGCUGAUAUUGCCUGUCUGGAUCGAGGGCUGCGUCUUUUGACUAGGAUGCUGGCGUAAUGAUCUAAUGCCGCCCGUCUUGAAACACGGACCUCCUGUGUGAGGGAUCCCCCUAAAG